rnacentral:lncRNA from 1 species
UAGCUAGCAUAGCAAAGCAACAUCAAGUCCAAAACAGGCUGGCAGUAGCGGUUCAAACAGGCUGGCAUAAAGCAAGCGUGUUUUACAAAGUAGAACAACAAAAAUGAAAACUUGGCACAAAGUGAAACAUCUGAAGCUGAGCAUUCAUAGUAGAAAACAAACCCAAUUUUAAGCUUUACUAACACAAUAAAAAAUGAUCUCAACCAAAAACAACAUCCACACAAACAAAACAAAAUUCUAUCUUUCAAAUAAACCAACUCUAGUUUCAAAUUUUAGCUUCCAAUCUAAUAAUAUAAAGUUCGAAAAGCAGCAAACAUGAAGAUAAUGAGAAGAUACAUGCCUUUUCAGAUACCGGUGAAGAGAGAGACGGUCGUGCGCGGUGGAAGUUGGAACGACAGUGAUGCCUUCUGGUUUUUCUUAUUCCCUUUCUUUUUAUGUGUUUUUUAUAUCAGUAUUAAUCUCAUAUCCCUCCUUCUCUUUUUGAAAUUUGAUAAGGUGUAUUUAUAGUGUUUUUUUUUUAUCUAUUUAGUUGCUUUCUUGCUUGCCUUUGUCUUUCUCCAUCAAUUUCUUGUUUGAUGUUUAAUUUAUUUUGCUCAUCAUCUGUGUUUUUUUCAACACAUCUGAUGCAUUCAUGGUUUUAGCCUAUGUUUGUUUUCAUCUUUUCUUUUGUUGAGCUUUUAUUUGUAGCUGUAAUUUGUUCUUUAGUUUUUUUUUAACUCAAAAGUUUGUCUAUUUGGUAUCUUUAAUGUGUACAAUGGCUGAUUUAUAAAAAUUAUCUUUUUAUUUCUCUAAUUAGUUACAACCGGUACAAAUGUAUCAAUGAGCAUGGAUUGUGCAUCAAUGGCAGCCAGCAUCAACAUAGCAGGGUUUGGCAGUGAGCAAAGGCAACAAUAGAGAACAAAAACACAAGCAAAACUAGAAACAGCUGGGUUCAUUUGAUUUAGUUUGAAUUAAUUUUUAUUUUAAUUUAAAAUUGUAAUUUGAUUUGGUAUUGUAAAUUGAUGAGCCUAUUUAUUGUAAUUAUUUUAUUUCCUUUUUUUAAUAUAUAUUUUCCUUUUUGAUUUAUUUUUUAAAAAAUGGAUAAAACCGGGGUACUACAGCUGCCCCUAUUUAAUUAUAUUUUACUUGAAAAAU